AGAGAGAGAGAGAGAGAGAGAGAGAGAGAGAGAGAGAGAGAGAGAGAGAGAGGAGAUUAAUAACAGGAGUUUCCGGAAAUAAUAAACAUUCUGAUACCUGAAAAGACGAAAAGUUAAGAUGCCUAUCACUCUAGAGAACGUCCGCUUCUCUAUUGCAGCACUGGCAAUGAGAGCAAAAUCUGUGGUGAUAUCAGACGGUGCUUUGAUGAUAAUAGCAGGGGUGGCAGCAGUGGCAGUUGUAACCGUCAAAAUCUUGGCGAAUGUAAAAUGAAAAAGCGACUCGCUCUGACAUUCAGCCGUGUCAUCAGCUUUGAACAAAAUCAAAGAAAACUAAACAUAAAGAAGCUAAUCGAAUGGAUGGAAGCGAUCAUGCUGGGGUGGAUUCAGCUUCAAUUGGUCUCCGUGUGUGAAGAGGAAACAGCUGACAUGAAGAAACUACAACCAGACAAGUUCAGAAGAUGUUUCUUUGAUAAACACUACAUUUGCUGUGUUUGAUCUAGUUAUCCAAACAAAGAAAAUAUUACAACUGUGUUCUCUCAUUAUACUAUCUGAUGAAAGGACAAGUAUUCCUUAAGUUUUACAAAACUGGUUGCGACUGUAAAUAUUCUCACAGAAAAUGUCCAUCUGUCAUCUCCAAAUGAUGCACCAAACAUGAUUCCUCAGAAACAAAGUGAAUGUAGUUAAAACUGGUAAACAUACCAUAAACAUAUUGUGUUGUUAAAUUAUCCUGUGCUUUUGUGUUGUAAUGAUAUAGUUCAAAGAAAACACUGAAAUUGGAAUAUAGAUUAAAAAAAACACUUUUUGAACUGGCAUCUUUCUCUGCCUUUUGCAACUCCACAUCAAAAUGAAUUUAGAUAUUUAUUUAUUUUUUAGUUCUUGUUUAAGUGUAAAACUGCAUUUCUGAAAGUAGGUAAACGGAUAAGCAAAAAAAAAAAUUCUCGGCCUUCAGUAAAACAAAGACCUUUACAUAAAUUAACCCAGUUUGCUAAAUGAAAGUGAAAGUAUUCCAAACAUCUAAUGAACUCGGUGAACAACCAACAGCUAGAAAGAAAAACAAAAUGCCUAGAAUCACUGUGAUGUUAGGUAACUGGUUUUAGAGCAAGAGGAGGAUAAUGAAUAAGCACAGCUUCGUUCCAGUAUAAACAAAAGAAAAGCUA